rnacentral:rRNA from 1 species
AGUGAACGCUGGCGGUAGGCCUAACACAUGCAAGUCGAACGGCAGCACAGUAAGAGCUUGCUCUUACGGGUGGCGAGUGGCGGACGGGUGAGGAAUACAUCGGAAUCUACUUUUUCGUGGGGGAUAACGUAGGGAAACUUACGCUAAUACCGCAUACGACCUACGGGUGAAAGCAGGGGAUCUUCGGACCUUGCGCGAUUGAUUGAGCCGAUGUCGGAUUAGCUAGUUGGCGGGGUAAAGGCCCACCAAGGCGACGAUCCGUAGCUGGUCUGAGAGGAUGAUCAGCCACACUGGAACUGAGACACGGUCCAGACUCCUACGGGAGGCAGCAGUGGGGAAUAUUGGGCAAUGGGCGCAAGCCUGAUCCAGCCAUACCGCGUGGGUGAAGAAGGCCUUCGGGUUGUAAAGCCCUUUUGUUGGGAAAGAAAAGCAGCAGGUUAAUACCCCGCUGUUCUGACGGUACCCAAAGAAUAAGCACCGGCUAACUUCGUG